UGACCACCUAGUUUAUGGAAUAGUGUCCAAUCUGUGGAUAUUCUCUUCCUCCUCCCAGCUCCUCACUCUUCUGAUCCUGGUUUGGGGAUCUCUGCUUUGUUUUACUGCAACUGUAUUAUCUAAGGAGUCCAAAUGCUCCAGAGCCUGUCAAGUCCUACACAUUCAACCUUUGUACAUCACUCCCCAUUGUCAACCUUGCGGAAGAAAGAGGGCAUUGACCCCAACAAUCUGGGCUCCACAGUGAUCACAGCUUCAUUUCUUGGGACUCCACACCAGUAAUUCAUCGUGCCAUCCUGGGAUGGUGCAAGCCAGCACUUUCCAUGUUCCUAUGCAAUGAGUUCAGUGUAUGUCAGAGAAAUGAAUGAUCCUGCAUGCUCCCACAUAUAACUUUUUGCAGUGUGAACAAACAGUGGGAAAAGACCCACGUAUUGGCUCUCUUAAAGCAAAUGCAAUGCAACCAGACCACAAGGGGCACCAGCCAGUUGGCUGUUAUGUGCAGUACAGCUUUAUCAACUUCCAGCUCUUGAAACUCACGAAGCCUGGGACCAACAAAAGCAUCUUUCUUUGA
rnacentral:lncRNA from 1 species